UACGUAGGGUGCGAGCGUUGCCCGGAUUUAUUGGGCGUAAAGAGCUCGUAGGCGGCUUGUCACGUCGAUUGUGAAAGCUCGGGGCUUAACCCAGAGUCUGCAGUCGAUACGGGCUAGCUAGAGUGUGGUAGGGGAGAUCGGAAUUCCUGGUGUAGCGGUGAAAUGCGCAGAUAUCAGGAGGAACACCGAUGGCGAAGGCAGGUCUCUGGGCCGCUACUGACGCUGAGAAGCGAAAGCAUGGGGAGCGAACAGG
rnacentral:rRNA from 1 species